UCAGAUACGUAUAUACAUACACACAUACACACACACAGUCGUCCGUCCGAAAGCGGUCGGAGAUGAUUCUCUGGAUCUUGAAACGUCAAGAUUUAGUGAACACCUAACUUUUCAUUUUCGGGGUGAUGACAAUAAUUUCCUUUUUUCUCCGAAAAUGGAGAAACGGGAAGUUAAAAAGCACCAAAUAGUGUUGCUUCCAAACCGAAAUGCAGUCUAUAGAAGUUUUAUAGAAGUUCACACCGUCGAUUGUUUACAAUGUGUUGGUUUGACGGCGAUGGUGUCAACCUCAAAAUCCAAGUCUGUCACAGAUUUGCGUGUACACCGACACAGUGUUGCAUUGACACCGAUAUAAUGUUGAAUUGACACCGAUGGUGUCAAUCUGAUGUCGAAAGCUCUUACGCGUACAAGUUUUAACAUGCCGCAAGUCCUUAGCCCGCAGUCAGAGAAGCUCAGUUUCCUCCACGCGCGCUUACAAGCAGUCGCUUCGCAUUUCAGUGCGCAGCAAGCAGCAAAUGUGCAGGAUGCACCGGAUAGUGGUGACAUUGUUACCGGGACAUCUUUCCAGUUGCGAAAGGGACGAUACAACGGGGAGACUAAAUAGAUAAAAGUGCUCACUCCCAAUGGCAAGCCCUUGGAAUAGAAUGAUUUUAUUAUUACAGGAAAUAUUCUAUGACCCUGAAGGCCGGUCAGGUUACAUCUCCUGGAGACUGCGCACCCUCAAUAGACGUCGUCAGGUGCCAAGUAAAGAAGUUAAAAUUGAGCAGAAAGAAAACGUUCGACCCCCAAAAAUGUGUACCCUCACAAUGAGGAAAGUGCGCAAGGACAGUUGAUCUUCCUCCGCAAUGCCUGUCCUAAGACACAAAAGAAAGAAAUUUUAUUGGCACAGGCGGAGGCAAAUUUGAUAGGUAUGACAAUUUUAUAUCUGAAUUUUUGUUAGCGAGAAGCGAUUUUCAAUUUAAUCCAUCCGAUAGAAUAUUCGUGGUGAAAAAAGUAGUUUCUGGAUUUCUUUAUAAAGUCGGAUUUUCAAUUGCAACCCAUAUUGAUGAACAGACGGAUCUACCCGUAUUUCAGGUCAUCACUCAUAUCUUUGUACAUCGCAAUGUACCAUUCGUUAUUUGUACCAAAUGUAAAACAAAAUAUUUUAGUGACGAGUACCAUGCUUUUGUAGUCGAACCCAAAAUUAUAAAGACCUAUAGUUUAAUCGAUCUCAAUCUGUUGGAUCAUAAAUAUGCCUAUGAAUUUCAUCAAAGUUAUCACAAAACUACUACGUUCGUAGUGCCGAGAUGUCAUAUUUUUUAAACGUACCUAUAUGCUACUAUUUUCAUCAUUAUCAUAAUUAUAAUCUAUAUGUAUAUUGUACUAUUAGUUUUUACGCCGUUUCGUGUCACUCAAUUCAUAUGUUCAUAUAAAUGCAUACGGUAUUUAAAAGUUCCUAUCCCGCAGAACGGAAAGUACAAACAAUAAUGAUUAAUUAUUAUUUAGCCAAUUUGUUGUUAAAGAGAAAAUAAGUUUUGUACUUUUGAUAUCAAAUAUAUAAUAUGUAA
rnacentral:lncRNA from 1 species